GACGAACGCUGGCGGCGUGCCUAAUACAUGCAAGUCGAACGCAGUGGGGACGGGUGAGUAACACGUGGGUAACCUCCCAUCAGAGGGGAUAACACUUGGAAACAGGUGCUAAACCGAUACUGAUGGAUGGACCAGCGGUGCAUUAGCUAGUUGGUGAGGUAACGGCGCACCAAGGCCACGAUGCAGAGCGGACCGGAGAGGGGGAGCGGGCACACUGGGACUGAGACACGGCCCAGACUCCUACGGGAGGCAGCAGUAGGGAAUCUUCGGCAAGGGACGAAAGGCUGACCGAGCAACGCCGCGUGAGGGAAGAAGGUUUUCGGAGCGUAAAACUCUGGUGGUAGAGAAGCGGUAUCUAACCAGAAAGCCACGGCUAACUACGGGCCAGCCGCCGCGGUAAUUC
rnacentral:rRNA from 1 species